UACGUAGGGGGCAAGCGUUGUCCGGAUUUAUUGGGCGUAAAGAGCGUGUAGGCGGCCGCACAGGUCCGUUGUGAAAACUGGAGGCUUAACCUGGGAACUGCAGUCGAGACUGUCUAGCUAGAGUAUGGGAGAGGGAAGUGGAAUUUCAGGUGUAGCGGUGAAAUGCGUAGAUAUCUGAAGGAACAUCAGUGGCGAAAGCGACUUCCUGGACCAAUACUGACGCUCAUGUGCGAAAGCGUGGGAGCAAACAGG
rnacentral:rRNA from 1 species